rnacentral:tRNA from 1 species
GCGAGAGUGGCGGAACUGGUAGACGCGCUGGAUUUAGGAUCCAGUGAUGAUUCAUCGUGGGGGUUCGAGUCCCCCCUCUCGCA